rnacentral:rRNA from 1 species
GUGACAGCAGCCGCGGUAAGACAGAGGGUGCAAACGUUGCUCGGAAUCACUGGGCGUAAAGCGCGUGUAGGCGGGUAGAUAAGUCAGAUGUGAAAUCCCUGGGCUCAACCCAGGAACUGCAUUUGAAACUGUCUGCCUUGAGUGUCGGAGAGGAAAGCGGAAUUCCUGGUGUAGAGGUGAAAUUCGUAGAUAUCAGGAGGAACACCGGUGGCGAAGGCGGCUUUCUGGACGACAGCUGACGCUGAGACGCGAAAGCGUGGGGAGCAAACAGGAUUAGAUACCCCUGUAGUCC